rnacentral:rRNA from 1 species
UCCGUAGGCGGAUUGAUAAGUCAGAGGUGAAAUCCCACAGCUUAACUGUGGAACUGCCUUUGAAACUGUUAGUCUUGAGUUAUAUGGAAGUAGAUAGAAUGUGUAGUGUAGCGGUGAAAUGCAUAGAGAUUACACAGAAUACCGAUUGCGAAGGCAGUCUACUACGUAUAUACUGACGCUAAUGGACGAAAGCGUGGGGAGCGAACAGGAUUAGAUACCUGGUAGUCC